UACGUAGGGGGCGAGCGUUAUCCGGAAUUACUGGGCGUAAGCGCACGCAGGCGGUUCGCCAAGUUUGGAGUGACAGUUGUCGGCUCAACCGACAAAGGACUUCAAAAACUGGUGAACUUGACGGACGAGAGAGGAACAUGGAACUCCAGGUGUAGUAGUGAAAUGCGUAGAUAUCAGGAGGAACACCGGUGGUGUAGACGGCUUUCUGGACCGUAACUGACGCUGAGACACGAAAGCGUGGGUAGCAAACAGG
rnacentral:rRNA from 1 species